GAAAUCUUCCCAGCUCUCCAAAGCAAACAGGGCUCUGAGUUUUCCUCUAAAAACUCUAAACUACAGACAUGUGUAUCUGUGCACCAUGUGCCUUCUUCCUGAAGAGACAAGGAUUGGAUGCUGGAUCCCCUGGGACUGGGAGUUACAGACAGGACUUGAACCCGGGUCUUCCCGGAGAGCUCUUUUAACUGUUGAGCCAGCUCUUAGCCCCAGUGGCCUGUCCACUCGGUACCAAGCUUCAUAUAGGACCAAGCAUCUCCAGUGUCUAUGACCGCCGGAUUGUCAGCAGAUCACUGUUAACCACCAACCACAAUACAUCUGACACCACGGCAGAGGCUCCUCCGCUCUAUUGUGAUCUGUCUAAUUAAUGUCCCUACCAAUAUAUUUGUUUAUGUACCGACUUAGGACUUUGUACUCUGUGACUAAGCACACGGCCCCUCUUCCACCACAGCAGCCGUUCGGAACAAUCUGACUCGCUCUGUGUUUCCGUAUAUCUGAUUCUGAAUAAAGCGUUCUUUUCUUUUCUUCC
rnacentral:lncRNA from 1 species